rnacentral:rRNA from 1 species
UACGUAGGGUGCGAGCGUUAAUCGGAAUUACUGGGCGUAAAGCGUGCGCAGGCGGUUUUGUAAGCCAGAUGUGAAAGCCCCGGGCUUAACCUGGGAAUGGCAUUUGGGACUGCAAGGCUAGAGUGUGGCAGAGGAGACUGGAAUUCCUGGUGUAGCAGUGAAAUGCGUAGAUAUCAGGAGGAAUACCGAUGGCGAAGGCAGCAAGCUGGGCGACACCUGACGCUGAGGCGCGAAAGCGUGGGUAGCAAACAGG